rnacentral:rRNA from 1 species
AUUCUUUGCACUGUGUUUGGGUGUUAUAUAUUCAUGCUUCUAAUCGUCGCGAGACAUUACUUUGACUUCUGACCUCAAAUCAGGUAGGACUACCCGCUGAACUUAAGCAUAUCAAUAAG